CAGCAGCCGCAGUAAUACGUAGGGUGCAAGCGUUAAUCGGAAUUACUGGGCGUAAAGCGUGCGCAGGCGGUUAUAUAAGACAGAUGUGAAAUCCCCGGGCUCAACCUGGGAACUGCAUUUGUGACUGUAUAGCUAGAGUACGGCAGAGGGGGAUGGAAUUCCGCGUGUAGCAGUGAAAUGCGUAGAUAUGCGGAGGAACACCGAUGGCGAAGGCAAUCCCCUGGGCCUGUACUAACGCUCAUGCACGAAAGCGUGGGGAGCAAACAGGAUUAGAUACCCGUGUAGUCCCUGUCUCUUAUAC
rnacentral:rRNA from 1 species